UUAGAAUGCAAGGCUUCCUCAAUUCUCCACCCUUCCCCUCUUGACAUCUUGCUCUUCUUCCCUUCAUCUAUUGUGUUAGUCAGGACUUUCAUAGUUUUGAACAAGUCAGAACCUGAAAGAAUUUGCUUCCAGAACAGGACAUUGACAGGAAAAUUAAGCAUGAUCAUGCCGAGUAAAAUAGGAAUAAGAAUUGGACCUACCUCAAGAUCUGUUGAGAAGAUUAUGAGAGAGCUGAUGGAUCUAAAAGAUUGGCGCUUGGUAAUGACUGUCAAUUCUUUCUAUUACUUCUGUGUGUAAUUCAUCACCUAUUCUUGUUCAUCACUUGCGAAAAUUGUAACCCCUUUCUGUACUGAGUAAAAUGGAAACCUGUGUCUGCUCCUAGAGCCCCCUGUUACGGCCUCCCUCUACUUGUUAUGAAUUGAUGUCUUCACCAGGUCAAAUAGGAAUGAGCCACAGAUGGC
rnacentral:lncRNA from 10 species